rnacentral:tRNA from 1 species
GGUAGAGUGUUUUAGUUGACAAAGAGUGCUGGAUUUGGAAUCCAAGGAUCUGGGUUUGAAUCCUAGCUGUGCUU